CAAUAGCGUAUAUUAAAGUUGUUGCAGUUAAAAAGCUCGUAGUUGGAUUUCUGGUUGAAGCGACCGGUCGGGCGUUGAUUCGUCUGCACUGGAGUCGGUUUUGGCCAUCCUCUAGGAAAGUGCGUCUGGUAUUAAGUUAUCGGGCGUAUGAUCCUGGUCUUUUACUGUGAAAAAAUUAGAGUGUUUAAAGCAGGCCUUCGCCUUGAAUACAUUAGCAUGGAAUAAUAAGAUAGGACUUUGGUCUAUUUUGUUGGUUUGCAGACCGAAGUAAUGAUUAAUAGGGAUAGUUGGGGGUAUUUAUAUUCCGAUGUCAGAGGUGAAAUUCUUAGAUUUUCGGAAGAUAAACUUAUGCGAAAGCAUUUCCCAAGGAUGUUUUCAUUAA
rnacentral:rRNA from 1 species